GAGGGUAUAGCGCAAGCGGUAGAGUGCAUGCUUAGCAUGCACAAGGUCCUGGGUUCAAUCCCAGUACCUCCU
rnacentral:tRNA from 1 species